rnacentral:rRNA from 1 species
UACGUAGGGUGCGAGCGUUAAUCGGAAUUACUGGGCGUAAAGCGGGCGCAGACGGUUACUUAAGCAGGAUGUGAAAUCCCCGGGCUCAACCUGGGAAUUGCGUUCUGAACUGGGUGGCUAGAGUGUGUCAGAGGGGGGUAGAAUUCCACGUGUAGCAGUGAAAUGCGUAGAGAUGUGGAGGAAUACCGAUGGCGAAGGCAGCCCCCUGGGAUAACACUGACGUUCAUGCUCGAAAGCGUGGGUAGCAAACAGG